UACAGAGGUCCCGAGCGUUGUUCGGAUUCACUGGGCGUAAAGGGUGCGUAGGUGGCGAGGAAAGUCGGAUGUGAAAGCUCGGAGCUCAACUCCGAAAUGGCAUUGGAAACUACCUUGCUCGAGGGUUGGAGGGGGGACUGGAAUUCUCGGUGUAGCAGUGAAAUGCGUAGAUAUCGGAAGGAACGCCGGUGGCGAAAGCGGCGGGCUGGACCUCUUCUGACGCUGAGGCGCGAAAGCCAGGGGAGCAAAGCGGG
rnacentral:rRNA from 1 species